CACAAACAUGUAUAUAUACACAGUAUUUUAAUUCCUUACUUAUAAUACUUUGAAUUUAGCAUUAGGAGGCAGAUUUACUAAGAAGCACAGCGUGAACACAGCUACUACAAU